rnacentral:rRNA from 1 species
GACGAACGCUGGCGGCGUGCUUAACACAUGCAAGCCGAGCGGUAAGGCCCUUUCGGGGGUACACGAGCGGCGAACGGGUGAGUAACACGUGGGUGACCUGCCCUCAGCUCUGGGAUAAGCCUGGGAAACCGGGUCUAAUACUGGAUAUGACUCCAUGACGCAUGUUGUGGGGUGGAAAGCCUUGUGCGGCUGAGGAUGGGCCCGCGGCCUAUCAGCUUGUUGGUGGGGUGAUGGCCUACCAAGGCGACGACGGGUAGCCGGCCUGAGAGGGCGACCGGCCACACUGGGACUGAGACAUGGCCCAGACUCCUACGGGAGGCAGCAGUGGGGAAUCUUGCGCAAUGGGCGAAAGCCUGACGCAGCGACG